GACGAACGCUGGCGGCGUGCUUAACACAUGCAAGUCGAACGGAAGGGCCCUGCUUUUGUGGGGUGCUCGAGUGGCGAACGGGUGAGUAACACGUGAGUAACCUGCCCUUGACUUUGGGAUAACUUCAGGAAACUGGGGCUAAUACCGGAUAGGAGCUCCUGCUGCAUGGUGGGGGUUGGAAAGUUUCGGCGGUUGGGGAUGGACUCGCGGCUUAUCAGCUUGUUGGUGGGGUAGUGGCUUACCAAGGCUUUGACGGGUAGCCGGCCUGAGAGGGUGACCGGCCACAUUGGGACUGAGAUACGGCCCAGACUCCUACGGGAGGCAGCAGUGGGGAAUAUUGCACAAUGGGCGGAAGCCUGAUGCAGCAACGCCGCGUGCGGGAUAACGGCCUUCGGGUUGUAAACCGCUUUCGCCUGUGACGAAGCGUGAGUGACGGUAAUGGGUAAAGAAGCACCGGCUAACUACGUG
rnacentral:rRNA from 1 species